rnacentral:rRNA from 1 species
UACGAAGGGGGCUAGCGUUGUUCGGAUUUACUGGGCGUAAAGCGCACGUAGGCGGUUUGUUAAGUGAGAGGUGAAAUCCCAGAGCUCAACUCUGGAACUGCCUUUCAUACUGGCAAGCUAGAGUCCGGAAGAGGUAAGUGGAACUCCUAGUGUAGAGGUGGAAUUCGUAGAUAUUAGGAAGAACACCAGUGGCGAAGGCGGCUUACUGGUCCGGUACUGACGCUGAGGUGCGAAAGCGUGGGGAGCAAACAGG